CCGCAGUAACGCAUAAGCAUCCGCCUGGGAGUACGUACGCAGUAUGAACUCAAGGAAUUGACGGGACCGCACAGCAGCGGAGCAUGUGUUUAAUUUGAAGCAACGCGAAGACCCUUACCAGGGCUUGACAUGCCACUGACCGCAUCAGAGAUGGUGCUUUACCUUCGGGUACAGUGGACACAGGUGGUGCAUGGUUGUCGUCAGCUCGUGUCGUGAGAUGUUGGGUUAAGUCCCGCAACGAGCGCAACCCCUGUUUCUAGUUGCCAGCAUUAAGUUGGGCACUCUAGAGAGACUGCCGAUGACAAAUCGGAGGAAGGUGGGGAUGACGUCAAAUCAUCAUGCCCUUUAUGCCCUGGGCUACACACGUGCUACAAUGGUCGGUACAACGAGGAGCAAACCAGUGAUGGCAAGCAAAUCUCUAAAAGCCGAUCCCAGUUCGGAUUGUAGGCUGCAACUCGCCUACAUGAAGUCGGAGUUGCUAGUAAUCGCGGAUCAGAAUGUCGCGGUGAAUGCGUUCCCGGGUCUUGUACACACCGCCCGUCACACCAUGGGAGUUGUCAAUACCCGAAGCCAGUGAGCUAACCAGUAAUGGAGGCAGCUGUCGAAGGUAGGGGCGAUGACUGGA
rnacentral:rRNA from 1 species